AAACGUUUGAUUAAUGUAUUCAUUAUCCAGGUGGCAAUUGCGUCAUUACCACUUAGAAAUGCUAACUAGGUAACGUGAUUUAAGUAUAGCUACCUCUGGUAAAAAAAAAAAACCUAUUGAUUGCAAGCUUGCUAUUUAGCAGGGAUAAUGCUAUUAGACACCCCACCCGCAGUUCCUGGUUAUAAGUUACACUGUAACUUACAGACAGUCCGUGUUACCCGCGUAGCAGCUACGUAGGCGCGCUCGCGCUCGUUUUGACGAGAGCCGUUGGAAACUUUUGAUGGGCUAAUUAGCGGGAAGCAGGAGAGUGAAAUCGAUCAAUAUUAGCGUGGAUAUUCUGCGCUGAUGCGUCAGGGGGUCGGAGAGUAAUUUCGUCAUAGAAACGGGGGGGAGAAAAUCCCGUACCGUCACUCAGGAUCUCGAGAACAGGGUGGAAUUUUCCGCAAGGCCGUUCUACAGAAAGCAGUGGAAUGCUGACAGGAUGGAACACGUUCUCUGAGCUCUCCGUGUUCUAGAAUCUCACCAGUGGAAUCCUGUGCUGCCAUUCCUUGCCAGUCAUGAACUGAGGGUCUGAACUAUCCCCCCUGGGUGACACUGAGAUCGAGUCCAAGUCCUGGAGAGCCUCAGUUGUCUGCCGGUGUCCCUAGUCCUGGUCCUGGAGAGACGCAGGGUCUGCUGAGAUCCCCAACCCUGGUCCUGGAGAGCCUUGGUGUCUGCUGGGGUCCCCAGCCUUGAUCCUGGAGAGCCUCAGGGUCUGCUGAGGUCGCCAUCCCUGGUCCUGGAGAGCCUCAGGGUCUGCUGGGGUCCCCAUCCCUGGUUCUGGAGAGCCUCAGGGUCUUCUGAGGCCCCCAUCCCUGGUUCUGGAGAGACGCAGGGUCUACUAGGGUCCCCAGCCCUGGUCUUGGAGAGACGCAGGGUCUGUGGGGGUCCCCACCCCUGGUUCUGGAGAGCUGUAGAGCACUGGGGUCUCCCUGGUUUCUGGAGAGUUGCUGGAUCUGAUGUUUUAUCUUUUUAUCACACAGCAUCAAAUAUAUCAACUAAAGCUGCUGGUUAAACUCAGAUUGACUCCUCUCACCAUGGUUUCUUGGGUCUGAGCUAGUUGCUGAUUUUAAAAGUGG